UUUUUUUCUAUUUGAUUUCUGUAUCUGAAUCCUAUCUUAUAUAUGUAGAUCUUAUUUUAUGUUUUUAAGAUUUAAUCUUAUGUAUGCUUAGAUUAAAUUAAGUUUAACUUGAAUUUUUAAUUUUCGUUGCAUACUUGUAUUGAAAAAUUUUUGCAUGCAUGAAAUCAUGAAAUUUCAAUAAGAUCAUCUUGAGCAUUAGGGUCAAAGGGAUG
rnacentral:lncRNA from 1 species